CCUUUUCUUUUCGUUUCUUAACGACAGAUCACCAUCCGUCUAUAAUAAUAACGAGCACACGCAAAUUCGAAUACGUUUUCUGAACGGUGCGUGCACGGUUGUGCGAAUAUUUGCGUGAUCGGAAGCAGCACACGACUGAAC